AUUCAGCCUGGAAACAAACAUUCUUAUAAACAUUGUUUUUGCUAUCUCUUUUACUACUCUUUGUGUUAAAGACUGAACUCUGCUAUUUAACUGCUUAUGUGAUUUCUGUCUGACACCUUGGACAGUGUGGCCAAGGCUUCUUAUCAAACAGCUUCUUGUUUUGUUUGGUUGCUGGGACUCUAAAGAGUGCAGAGCUUACAUAGCCCAGAGAUCUUCAAGAACAGGAUGUUUAGAUUCAAGCCCAGAAGUUCUGACCCACUGCUCUGUCAGUCAAAUCCUGUGGAAACCUUCCUCGAGUAGAUGUGGGGUGUGCCAGGGAUGAGAGGUUCAGAGGAACGGAAAGGACAGAUCGGGCUCAGCAACGAGGAACACAAGGCUAAGCCACUGAGGAGCUGAAGGAGAGCUCUGAGGAGGCCACAAGGUUGAUUGGUCAAAGGUUAGAAGAAAUGAGAGGUGGAAGACAGAAUCACAUGACAAGCAGCCUGGAAUAGAUCUCUGUGACUUCACUGGACUGGAAUUCACUUUGUGGCCAGGCUGGCUAAGAACUCAUGAAGAUCUGUCUGCUACUGCCUCCCAAGAGGCAUUAAAGGCAUGUGCCACUUUGCCCAGUUUUC
rnacentral:lncRNA from 1 species